rnacentral:rRNA from 1 species
UACGGAGGGGGCUAGCGUUGUUCGGAAUUACUGGGCGUAAAGCGCGCGUAGGCGGACCUGCAAGUCGGGGGUGAAAGCCCGAGGCUCAACCUCGGAACUGCCUUCGAUACUGCGGGUCUCGAGUCCGGGAGAGGUGAGUGGAAUUCCUAGUGUAGAGGUGAAAUUCGUAGAUAUUCGCAAGAACACCAGUGGCGAAGGCGGCUCACUGGCCCAUUACUGACGCUGAGGCACGAAAGCGUGGGGAGCAAACAGGG